rnacentral:rRNA from 1 species
GACAGAGGUGCCGAGCGUUAGGCGGAAUCACUGGGCUUAAAGCGUGUGUAGGCGGACCGUUAAGUACCUUGUGAAAUCCCACGGCUCAACCGUGGAACGGCUGGGUAUACUGGCGGUCUUGGGCCACCUAGGGGCAGCCGGAACAAGCGGUGGAGCGGUGAAAUGCGUAGAUAUCAGGAGGAACACCGGUGGCGAAGGCGGUUCUCUGGGCAUUACCUGACGCUGAGGAGCGAAAGCGUGGGGAGCAAACAGG